GAAUCAGGCAUCGGUGGCGGAAGCUUGUGAACCGUGUCAGGCCUUGACGGGAGCAGCACUAAGCGAGUCCUUUCGGGCACCGGUGUCUGACUGUUC
rnacentral:SRP_RNA from 1 species